ACGGCGUCAACAAUACAUAAACGUUGGACAUGUCAACAUGACUCAAUGGUUCCAAAACAGUACCAUUCCAAUACUCGAUUUAAUUUACUCUGCUCAAACUAAUUGUCUAAGGAUAGGCUUUGUAUGCAACUCACCAUUCGUUUUACCACCGCUACUGUUUAAAAAAACACCGACUCCAAUUAUUACCUUAUUAGAGCUAAACCGGUAACCAUCUGGAUUGCAAUUCUACUUAAACCGUAAUCAAUAGAUGUAUUCAUCACCGAAAAGAAAAAACAAUCUCGAAGGCACCACGCAAAGCGCCAAAUCACCAAGACUAAUUCGGCUUCGUUCCCUACCGAAGUGCGCUUAUGGGCCCAAAUGUCGUUCCUCCUAUUUUUGUAAACGUCCAAUAACUUUGAAAAUUAAAUUUUCUUUUAGCCCAUUUACGGCCCAAAAGAACAUUACACAUAGUCACAUACCUUGCCAAAUAUAAAACCCUUACACAAAAACAACUUACUAAGAAAAAUAGACACGGACUUCAAAUUGCUUAUGUCAAAUAGGCGGUUAUAAACUAUUCACUUUCGUACUCCUACAGAGUAGCCUAAUAGGCCUUCGGUAAUAGAUGCAAUUUCAAUCACUAACUCUUCAAUUAAAUUUAAAUUACCUCCCUCGCACACACAAAAACACCAAAACAAAAAACUAACCGUUGCACAUAUAAAACACAUAACAA
rnacentral:lncRNA from 1 species